UCCUUCGGGGUGUAAUGGUUAGCACACUCGGCGCGUAACCGAGACGUCCGUGGUUCGAUUCCCGGCGAAGGCG
rnacentral:tRNA from 1 species